CAUCAGCUUGACUUCAUCAUGAAAUGGGUGGGAAGGUCCUACCUGGGAGGGGGAUUAACCAAAACCCAUUUAUCAACAAUGAUUUUUUUUUUUUUAAUAAUUAUCGCUCAGAAAAGGCAGGUUCAUAGUUUUAAUUUGUAGCUUUGUGGGGGUAGUUCACCAUUAAUGUUAUUUGCAUGAACUGUCUGGAAAUUCAUUUAAACAGGUAGUUCAUCUUUAAAUUGUCUUUAUUAUGUUAUAGAAUGUAUUUUUCUUAGUCACAUUUCAGUUGGUCAAUUUUUAAUAUAUUUUUUAAUUAUUUGCCUUCCUCUUCUGCUUCUUACCAGCUUGCAAUUUCAAAUGCUAUCUAGUUGUUAAGGGUCACUGGAAUAAAAAACCCAGUUGCUCUACAAACUACAAAUUUGUUAAUGUAUGUGCUGUGUCCUCACCCCUGUCUGCCUCAGUGUGGUCCUCGGCCCCAGCGCUCUACCACGUGACACUGCCCAACACUAAUGAUGCUGCGUCGGCCAGUGGACGCGGUGACAUGAUGCACCGGGGCCGAGGACCACACUGAGGCAGACAUGUAGUAGCCAGGGGUAAGGAUGCAGCGAGGGCCGGGUAAAUGACCUUGGGGGGCCACAUCAGGCAUGUGGGCUGUAGUUUGAGGACCCCUGCUGAAUAUGAUUCAUCUGUAUAUUUCAGCCCUUUACUAUUCAUCUUAUAGUCUCUCAGCCAAACCUCUCCCUGGUUUCUAUAAAAAAAAACUGAACAACAAUAACCAGAUAAUUCCCAGCUGGAGAACUCCUUAAUAUCAAGUUAAAUAAUUCAAAAACAAAAAAUAUUCAAAGAGUAAAUUUAAAAUACACCUUUAAACGUAAAAGAAAAAAGUUUGGCCCAUGGUUCUGUAUUUUUUUUGGGGGGGGAUGCAAAUACGCAUUUUGUAUGAGAAACUGUACCAUGAUGAUGACCUCAUCUGCACAUGUAUAAGCUCCUUGACCAGUCCUGAAUAAUAUAAAGUUUUGCUUCCAUAAUGGCAUGACUAGCUGGUCUGUUAGUGAUGAGCUUUACUGUGACAUAUAUACCAAUUUGGGCCCAUGGUUUUCUGAUUCACAAAAAUAUUGUUUAACAAGCAGAUUUUUAUUAGAUGGCAAGCCCACCUUCUUAUAUUGCUGUUCCUCCCCUGUUUAGGCCCAUGUCCUUGUGCAUUUUGAGACCGCUGGUUCCCCCUGCCUAGGAAUUUGAGAAAGGGUGCCUUUGACACUGAACAGAGCCUACAUGACUGUCGAUUUGCCAUGAUAAGGAGCAACUGCAGUUCAACACUGUUGCUCCUCUUCACUUCCUCAUCUUCCAGUGCCCUAUACACUGGCUGACUGGUGCAUCAGAAGAAGGAAUUUUCAAAAUAUGUCCAAUCUUCUGCAAUUUUAUAGGAUCACAAGAUGAUCUGUCAAAAUUGCCCUCCAACCUGGCACACGUGAUUAGAUGGAUGAGCAGUACGAACAAAAUAAAUUGCACUGCCUGCUCAAAUCUAAA